rnacentral:rRNA from 1 species
UACGUAGGGUGCGAGCGUUAAUCGGAAUUACUGGGCGUAAAGCGUGCGCAGGCGGUAAGUUAAGUCUGAUGUGAAAGCCCCGGGCUCAACCUGGGAAUGGCAUUGGAAACUGGCUUGCUAGAGUGUGGCAGGGGGGGGUGGAAUUCCGCGUGUAGCAGUGAAAUGCGUAGAGAUGCGGAGGAACACCGAUGGCGAAGGCAGCCCCCUGGGCCGACACUGACGCUCAGGCACGAAAGCGUGGGGAGCAAACAGG